rnacentral:rRNA from 1 species
GGCGGCAGGCCUAACACAUGCAAGUCGAGCGGAUGAAGAGAGCUUGCUCUCUGAUUCAGCGGCGGACGGGUGAGUAAUGCCUAGGAAUCUGCCUGAUAGUGGGGGACAACGUUUCGAAAGGAACGCUAAUACCGCAUACGUCCUACGGGAGAAAGCAGGGGACCUUCGGGCCUUGCGCUAUCAGAUGAGCCUAGGUCGGAUUAGCUAGUUGGUGAGGUAACGGCUCACCAAGGCGACGAUCCGUAACUGGUCUGAGAGGAUGAUCAGUCACACUGGAACUGAGACACGGUCCAGACUCCUACGGGAGGCAGCAGUGGGGAAUAUUGGACAAUGGGCGAAAGCCUGAUCCAGCCAUGCCGCGUGUGUGAAGAAGGUCUUCGGAUUGUAAAGCACUUUAAGUUGGGAGGAAGGGCAUUAACCUAAUACGUUAGUGUUUUGACGUUACCGACAGAAUAAGCACCGGCUAACUUCGUGCCAGCAGCCGCGGUAAUACGAAGGGUGCAAGCGUUAAUCGGAAUUACUGGGCGUAAAGCGCGCGUAGGUGGUUUGUUAAGUUGAAUGUGAAAGCCCCGGGCUCAACCUGGGAACUGCAUCCAAAACUGGCAAGCUAGAGUAUGGCAGAGGGUGGUGGAAUUUCCUGUGUAGCGGUGAAAUGCGUAGAUAUAGGAAGGAACACCAGUGGCGAAGGCGACCACCUGGGCUAAUACUGACACUGAGGUGCGAAAGCGUGGGGAGCAAACAGGAUUAGAUACCCUGGUAGUCCACGCCGUAAACGAUGUCGACUAGCCGUUGGGAUCCUUGAGAUCUUAGUGGCGCAGCUAACGCAUUAAGUCGACCGCCUGGGGAGUACGGCCGCAAGGUUAAA